rnacentral:lncRNA from 1 species
GCCACGCCACCUGGCAAACGAGGGUGCUACACCUGCACAUACUGGCUUUUGUCUCCUCCCCAGUUUUGCUAGAUUUCUCCUGGGUCUCCUGACUCCUUGUCCAGUGCUCCUCACUCUCCUAACUCUGCCCUUCCUUUUCUCAGACCAGUCGGACCCAGUGUGCCAGAGCCUUGUGAGGUGCUGAGGAAGAAAAACCAGGAAUCCCUCCAUUAUGAUGGCAUACUGGGAGGGGGAAUCGAGUUAAAAGUGAACAAGGGCACAGUACAGAUGUAAAAUCCUUGUGUCGAGCUUCCCUUUUUCAUGAUUCUGAGGUAUAUUUGGGCCUAAGGAAUCAUAACCUUGUACAAUGUUACUGCUGAAUGGAACUGUAGGGAUCCUUCUACUUCAAACCCAUUUCUUUCUUUUUAAAAGUAGACUCCACGCUGGAGUAGACACGGCCCUGAGAUCAAGACCCGAGCCAAGAUCAAGAGUGGCGUGUUUAACCAACUGAGCCAUCCAGGCACCCCGCAAACCCCUCAUUUUCUAGAUGAGGAAACUGAGACCCAGAAGGGGGAAGUGUCUGGGCCAAGGACACACAGCCUCUCAGGGCACAAGAACCCAGGAGUCUCAACCCCAAGUCUGGGUUCUUUCACCACAUGCUCAGAAGAGAAGUCAAGGAGUUGACAGAAAUCUUUGUGCCCUGCGGCCGUCAACCUCACCCCGUACCCAGGAGGAAAAGGGGCCUUCAGUGGACACCUCUCCCCACUUCCACUCUGAGUCUUCACCAGCCACUUUCCUCCGACAGCCGCGACAGGCCAAUUUCAUCUUAACCAAAGUUCUUGGAAAUGGACCGCUGAGCUGCUUGGAAGAUGCCCCUGGAGGGCAGCAAUUCCGCCAGAGGUAGACCAACUCCAAGGGCUCUCCACUCACAUUUCUACAGCUCCUUAUAAAUCAAGUGAGUAAUUUAUCUGCUGCUUCACAACCAUCCUUCUCCAUAUAUCCCAAUCUCACCAUUGCAGGGACUAGUGAGGGGCAGGGAAUAAGCCCCCAGGUACAGAGAAGGAGCUCUGUUGUUCUCCAGCCUGGAACUCAAGGCUGUCUCUUCGGGCUCCUUCCCACCAACUGGUAGUUUCAUCUCUUAAAAGCGAGUCUAUCCUUACCUUCUCCCUGGUCCUCCUCUCUGGAAUUUCCACGGGGUUCCCCAGUCCUGGGUUCCUGGCUGCCUCCUCCGCUGCCUGCCCACUCUUCCCGGCUCUCACUCAGCCUGUCAGUUGCUCUCC